AUUGAACGCUGGCGGCAUGCUUUACACAUGCAAGUCGAACGGUAACAGGCCGCAAGGUGCUGACGAGUGGCGAACGGGUGAGUAAUGCAUCGGAACGUGCCCAGUCGGGGGAUAACUACUCGAAAGAGUAGCUAAUACCGCAUACGAUCUAUGGAUGAAAGCGGGGGACCGUAAGGCCUCGCGCGAUUGGAGCGGCCGAUGUCAGAUUAGGUAGUUGGUGGGGUAAAGGCUCACCAAGCCAACGAUCUGUAGCUGGUCUGAGAGGACGACCAGCCACACUGGGACUGAGACACGGCCCAGACUCCUACGGGAGGCAGCAGUGGGGAAUUUUGGACAAUGGGCGCAAGCCUGAUCCAGCAAUGCCGCGUGCAGGAAGAAGGCCUUCGGGUUGUAAACUGCUUUUGUACGGAACGAAACGGCUCUGGUUAAUACCCGGGGCUAAUGACGGUACCGUAAGAAUAAGCACCGGCUAACUACGUG
rnacentral:rRNA from 1 species